rnacentral:pre_miRNA from 10 species
UUCGUAGCAUAAAUAUGUCCCAAGCUUAGUUUGGGACAUACUUAUGCUAAAA